rnacentral:lncRNA from 1 species
GGUGGAGUUUAUCCAGUUCGCUCAUAAUUAACCAGUCCAUCUAUAGAUAGGUGUUUUAGGAUACACUCAUCAAUGCAUUGUCCAGUCAUUUUGUAAAUUCCUGUGAGGUCACUGAUAGGGGAUUAGAAAUCAGUAAUAACUAUAACGGCAAUCAUCGUAAUCACACACAUUUUCAAAUCGACUGUCCUCAUGCAAAUUAAAACGUAAGCUCCGCCCGAUCUGUU